rnacentral:rRNA from 2 species
UUGACCUCAAAUCAGGUAGGACUACCCGCUGAACUUAAGCAUAUCAAUAAGCGGAGGAAAAGAAACUAACAAGGAUUCCCUUAGUAACUGCGAGUGAAGAGGGAAAAGCUCAAAUUUAAAAUCUGGCAGUGUUUCACUGUCCGAGUUGUAACCUA